rnacentral:rRNA from 1 species
AACGAACGUUAGCGGCGCGCCUAACACAUGCAAGUCGAGCGAGAAAGGGAGCAAUCCCCGGUACAGCGGCGCACGGGUGAGUAACACGUAGGUAAUCUGCCUCCGAGUGGGGGAUAACCUUCCGAAAGGAGGGCUAACACCGCAUAAGACCACGACUCCGAGAGGGGAUGAGGUCAAAGCCGGCCACUAUACAUAAGCUGGCGCUUGGAGAUGAGCCUGCGGCCCAUCAGCUAGUUGGCAGGGUAACGGCCCACCAAGGCGAAGACGGGUAGCUGGUCUGAGAGGAUGAUCAGCCACACUGGAACUGAGACACGGUCCAGACUCCCUACGGGAGGCAGCAGUGGGGAAUCUUGCGCAAUGGGCGAAAGCCUGACGCAGCGACGCCGCGUGAGUGAUGAAGGCCUUCGGGUUGUGAAAGCUCUGUGGNGGGGAAAGAAUAAGGCAUGGGCUAACAUCCAUGUCGAUGACGGUACCCCUUUAGCAAGCACCGGCUAACUCUGUGCCAGCAGCCGCGGUAAGACAGGAGGGCGAAACGUUGCUUCGGAAUUACUGGGCGUAAAGCGCGU